rnacentral:tRNA from 1 species
ACCUGACUGGCUCAGUGGAUAGAGCACGUGACUCUUGAUCUCAGGGUCAUGAGUUCAAACCCCAUAUUGGGUG